ACCUACCAAGGCGACGAUCGGUAGCUGGUUUUGAGAGGAUGACCAGCCACACUGGGACUGAGACACGGCCCAGACUCCUACGGGAGGCAGCAGUGGGGAAUUUUCCGCAAUGGGCGAAAGCCUGACGGAGCAAUACCGCGUGAGGGAAGAAGGCUUUUGGGUUGUAAACCUCUUUCGUCAGGGAGGAAGAAUUGACGGUACCUGAAGAAAAAGCAUCGGCUAACUCCGUGCCAGCAGCCGCGGUAAUACGGAGGAGGCAAGCGUUAUCCGGAAUUAUUGGGCGUAAAGCGUCCGCAGGGGGCACAUCAAGUCUGCUGUUAAAGGCUGGAGCUUAACUCCGGUAGAGCAGUGGAAACUGGUGUGCUAGAGGGCGACAGGGGUAGAGGGAAUUCCCAGUGUAGCGGUGAAAUGCGUAGAGAUUGGGAAGAGCACCGGUGGCGAAAGCGCUCUACUGGGUCGCACCUGACCCUCAGGGACGAAAGCUAAGGUAGCGAAAGGGAUUAGAUACCCCUGUAGUCUUAG
rnacentral:rRNA from 1 species